UACGAAGGGGGCUAGCGUUGCUCGGAAUCACUGGGCGUAAAGGGUGCGUAGGCGGGUCUUUAAGUCAGAGGUGAAAUCCUGGAGCUCAACUCCAGAACUGCCUUUGAUACUGAGGGUCUUGAGUAUGACAGAGGUGAGUGGAACUGCGAGUGUAGAGGUGAAAUUCGUAGAUAUUCGCAGGAACACCAGUGGCGAAGGCGGCUCACUGGUCCGAUACUGACGCUGAGGUGCGAAAGCGUGGGGAGCAAACAGG
rnacentral:rRNA from 1 species